CCCUGAAGGCCCCUUUCCGGGCUGUCCGGAAAGAUCCAAGUGUCAGCUUGUGUUGGUCUAUUGCCUCUUUUUCACAAGAAAGAAAAAUAUUCUGCCAGGCUCCCCUUGUUCUGUGAGAAGAUCCCCUUCCCCAGAAGAGUGUUUUUCGGCUGGCAUUUCUUUCAGGCAGUGCUGCGGGCAGCCCGUAGGCCCUUGUAAGGCGCGCGCUGCGGCCCCGCCUCCUUCCUUUCGGCCGGAACCGCCAUCUUCCAGGUAGGGCCUGCGCGUGGCUCCCGGUGCCGCGUGUCUCACGGACUCGAGUUCUGAACUUGGGACCGCAGCGGCAGUGCAUUGAGGUCCUUGAGAGACCGUCUAGCUUGUCCUGGGCCCACUGACCUGGGUGGUGGAGUUAUGUUCGUCCCAGACCAGGAGCGGCGUGCGCCGGGCCGGGGGCUGAGGACCAGACGGCAAGGCCGCGGCCCUGCGUGGGGAGAGACUCGAGAAAAGCGAAGCCGAGGCCCUGGGUAAUUUGCCAAAAUGACCAACACAAAGGGAAAGAGGAGAGGUACCCGCUAUAUGUUCUCUAGACCUUUUAGAAAACAUGGAGUUGUUCCUUUGGCCACAUACAUGCGAAUCUAUAAGAAAGGUGAUAUUGUGGACAUCAAGGUAAAUUCUAAAAUUGGGUAAAUAACCUACAGAAUAUUAGAAGGUAGAAAAGUUUAAUUUGGAAUUCAGAUACUAGUGUAUGUUGCAUCUGUUGGCUUUUUAUUCUCCUGAAUAGGGAAAAUCUUUGGUCUGGAUAAGAGCUGGUAAGUGUAGAAUGGCUAUUUAACUGAGAAACCAGAGUUUUUAAAGUGCUAUUCCUGAGUCUAAGAAUUUUCUCGUUACUUGUUUGUUAACAGGUUGUGAAUUUGUGGAGGUAAAAAGGAAUAAUACCUUAGUGCAAAAUUUAAUUGUUGAUGGUGACAGAGAUUGUUAUUUUUGUAAAAACAAGUGAAAGUUUUGUUUUGUGACCAAUAUUUAAAUGUAUCCUGGGACUCUGGAGCUUAAUGAUGAUUGUCUUUUUGAUUGCAUAAAGCAAUGUGAAAAACAACAUUUCACCGGCUCUGAAAGCUCUUGAGUUGCCAUUUAAAAGAAAAAAAAUUUUAGAGUAUCUUAAUUACUUUAGUAAGAGUCAGGAUGUAAAAGGAAGGGGAAAUGCUGGCAUAACUUUAAUCUCCUUUCUUAACAGGGAAUGGGCACUGUUCAAAAAGGAAUGCCCCACAAAUGUUACCAUGGCAAAACUGGAAGAGUCUACAAUGUUACUCAGCAUGCUGUUGGCAUUGUUGUAAACAAACAAGUUAAGUAAGUAACGUCAGGGUUCUUUUUAGCCGAUCAGUAUUCCUUCAUACCCCAUACCCCCUUUUCACUUUGCCAAUUGGACUUAUGUCUUUAUUGGUCAUUCAAGUGGGGCAAAGGAAAUAUCCUUUUAAAACUCAAGCAAACUGGGUGUUUGCCUUGUAUCCUGUCAGAGGAAACAAAUUAAACUAGACUUAAUGGAAGGUUUUAUUAGGGUUUGGUGUUAAGCAGUUCUAGUUUUCAGAGUAUAAAAAAGAAGUAUAGUAAGUAGUAAAUUGAGUUAGUGAUUUGGUUUUGGUUAUAUAGUAUUUCAAGGUCUGUCACCUCAUCAAAAGAAAGAAGUGGAGAUGUUCGGGGGCGUAUGGGUGGUGCGAUUAGUGAAGCAUCUAACUCUUUUUUUUUUUUUUUUAAGAUUUUAUUUUAUU